rnacentral:rRNA from 1 species
GUGUCAGCCGCCGCGGUAAUACGUAGGGGGCAAGCGUUGUCCGGAUUUAUUGGGCGUAAAGAGCGUGUAGGCGGCUAAAUAGGUCCGUUGUGAAAACUCGAGGCUCAACCUCGAGAUGCCGAUGGAAACCAUUUGGCUAGAGUCCGGAAGAGGAGAGUGGAAUUCCCGGUGUAGCGGUGAAAUGCGCAGAUAUCGGGAAGAACACCCGUGGCUAAGGCGGCUCUCUAGUACGGUACUGACGCUGAGACGCGAAAGCGUGGGGAGCGAACAGGAUUAGAUACCCCAGUAGUCC